CGUUGUAUUGCUAGCAUGAGC
rnacentral:misc_RNA from 1 species